GACGAAGGGGGCUAGCGUUGUUCGGAAUUACUGGGCGUAAAGCGCGUGUAGGCGGUUGUUCAAGUCGGGUGUGAAAGCCUUGAGCUCAACUCAAGAAAUGCACUCGAUACUGGAUGACUAGAGGACCGGAGAGGAUAGUGGAAUUCCCAGUGUAGUGGUGAAAUACGUAGAGAUUGGGAAGAACACCCGUGGCGAAGGCGGCUCUCUGGGACGGUACUGACGCUGAGACGCGAAAGCGUGGGGAGCGAACAGG
rnacentral:rRNA from 1 species